UGGGGAAUAUUGCGCAAUGGGCGGAAGCCUGACGCAGCGACGCCGCGUGGGGGAUGACGGCCUUCGGGUUGUAAACCUCUUUCGGCCCCGACGAAGCGUGAGUGACGGUAGGGGUAGAAGAAGCACCGGCCAACUACGUGCCAGCAGCCGCGGUAAUACGUAGGGUGCGAGCGUUGUCCGGAAUUAUUGGGCGUAAAGAGCUCGUAGGCGGUCUGUCGCGUCGAUCGUGAAAACUUGGGGCUUAACCCUGAGCUUGCGGUCGAUACGGGCAUGACUGGAGUUCGGCAGGGGAGACUGGAAUUCCUGGUGUAGCGGUGAAAUGCGCAGAUAUCAGGAGGAACACCGGUGGCGAAGGCGGGUCUCUGGGCCGAUACUGACGCUGAGGAGCGAAAGCGUGGGGAGCGAACA
rnacentral:rRNA from 2 species